rnacentral:rRNA from 1 species
UACGUAGGGUGCGAGCGUUUAAUCGGAAUUACUGGGCGUAAAGCGUGCGCAGGCGGUUUUGUAAGCCAGAUGUGAAAUCCCCGGGCUCAACCUGGGAAUGGCAUUUGGGACUGCAAGGCUUGAGUGCGGCAGAGGAGACUGGAAUUCCUGGUGUAGCAGUGAAAUGCGUAGAUAUCAGGAGGAACACCGGUGGCGAAGGCGGGUCUCUGGGCCGAAACUGACGCUGAGGAGCGAAAGCGUGGGGAGCAAACAGG